CAAUAGCGUAUAUUAAAUUUGUUGCGCUUAAAAAGCUCGUAGCUGGAUUUCUGCUGAGGACGACCGGUCCGCCCUCUGGGUGAGCAUCUGGCUCGGCCUUGGCAUCCUCUUGGGGAACGUAGCUGCACUUGACUGUGUGGUGCGGUAUCCAGGACUUUUACUUUGUGGAAAUUAGAGUGUUUCAAGCAGGCGCACGCCUUGAAUACAUUAGCAUGGAAUAAUAAGAUAGGACCUCGGUUCUAUUUUGUUGCUUUCUAGAGCUGAGGUAAUGAUUAAUAGGGAUAGUUGGGGGCAUUCGUAUUUAACUGUCAGAGGUGAAAUUCUUGGAUUUGUUGAAGACGGACUACUGCGAANGNAUUAGGNGAUGAUGUUUNCAUUG
rnacentral:rRNA from 1 species